GGAAAAGAGCACUACUGAUGCAGAAAUCUCAAGUCACAUCCCUUUUUGGGGCAGAUUCACUUUGGUCGAGAGGGUACACUGGUGCUAAAGUUAAAAUGGCUAUUUUUGACACAGGUAUACGGUCAGAUCACCCUCAUUUCCGCAAUAUUAAGGAACGCACAAAUUGGACCAAUGAAGAUACACUGAAUGACAAUCUAGGACAUGGGA
rnacentral:misc_RNA from 1 species